rnacentral:rRNA from 1 species
CACGUAGGGCGCAAGCGUUGUCCGGAAUUAUUGGGCGUAAAAAGCUCGUAGGCGGUCUGUCGUGUCUGGUGUGAAAAAUCCAGGGCUUAACCCUGGACCUGCAUCGGGUACGGGCAGACUAGAGUGCGGUAGGGGAGAUCGGAAUUCCUGGUGUAGCGGUGAAAUGCGCAGAUAUCAGGAGGAACACCGGUGGCGAAGGCGGAUCUCUGGGACGGUACUGACGCUGAGACGCGAAAGCGUGGGGAGCGAACAGG